UAUUACGUAGCGUUUGUUAGUCUUUUAUUAUUUUUCAGGGCUCCGGAGUGGCUAUGCUAAUGCAAGUCAAUGUGCCCAAUUAGCAUGCUAAUAAAAAGCGAUAUUCACAGAUCUAACACAGUCAAAUAAAUUGAAAACGCAGCUCAAUGUACAAAAAUCCCCUGCAGCCAAAAAAAAUGUCGCACCACACUGCCGUAAUUUAUUCAAUUCUGCGGGACUAUUGUUUCAUAUGCGUAAUGGAACUCCACUAGAGAGCAGUGCUACGGCCACUUGUCUUCACGUCAGUCUGCACGAAAGGACGUCAGCAUGGUGAAAUGUGCUUUUUAGAACUUGUGGAAACAUACAGAAGAAAUGGACAAAAGAAAGUGUCCACCGCUUCCCUGUGAAGAACGAGGAACUAUAUAAACUUUGGUUACUCUCUGCUGGAUAUGACAUUCACACACCGGUGGAAAAAGGACUAAAAUGGCGAAUUUGCAGCAAGCAUUUCGCAACAACCGACAUCAGGAAAACAUUUUGUGGCUAUUCUCUCCUGAAAUCAAAUGCUGUGCCUUCGACUGCCCAAACAGCUUCAAGAUCUUCGGAUAAAAAGGUAAGAUCUGCUGUACCACAGUCCACGCCAGUGAAGGAUACCACAUCAACAUCAGGCCAGCCGAGGACAAUUCAACAAUCAUCACGAGUGACCUGGAGGUAUAACACAGUGCGAUGCUGAAGUACACCCAAAAGAGGCUCCACUUUGUCUAUAACUCCAUGAAGGCAAGGACACUGAUGUCUGUUAUGGACCACAAUGAAAAUGUCGGGCACCAACAACAGAGGAACGCUGAUGGCACUUUGAAAUACAGCUCGGAGUUUCCAAAGCAAACAAAAAGAUGGGUUGCCCGGAGCUGUUACGAGCCAACAACGCAGACAUUCAGAGAGAAUUUGGUGGAAGCGUGUCCUGGAAAGACGGCAGGAUCCAUCAUUAAAGUUUGCUGAGCCAGACUUCUAUUUCAAGCCUCCAACUACUAUUCCACCGAACAUUGUAAACAUCGAAAGGACUGACGAAGAAAAAGUUUUUUUUACAACAUGUCAGUCGCUUUAAAAAAUAAGUAGGCAGACAUUUUCCUUUUUUUUUUAAUAGAUAUCUUAUAAUGUAGAUAUUUUUGAAUGAACGACAAUAAAAAAAACACAAAUAUUGUAUAAUUUGUGAAAUGUGAAGGUUUAAAAGAUAAAAAGUUUCUGGGUAUGGAGGAAAUGGUAUGAAAAGGUAUGUAGGUAAGUCGUACUUAGAAAAAUUGCAUAGCAUCUUCAGCUUCCCUAAAACCAUUGUAGUUCUCACUGACAGAAGGGUACUUCUCACGGAUGCAGGAGACGACACACGAUGGAAGAACACGUCGCUGGCCUCUUCCCAGAUGCUCGCCUUUCAACGCCCAAUCAAGAACAACCCUAUAUGCUACCAAUCAGAGUUGCCUAAAACAAAACCAUAAUAG